rnacentral:rRNA from 1 species
AACGAACGCUGGCGGCAUGCCUAACACAUGCAAGUCGAACGAGACCUUCGGGUCUAGUGGCGCACGGGUGCGUAACGCGUGGGAAUCUGCCCUUGGGUUCGGAAUAACAGUUGGAAACGACUGCUAAUACCGGAUGAUGACGUAAGUCCAAAGAUUUAUCGCCCAAGGAUGAGCCCGCGUAGGAUUAGCUAGUUGGUGAGGUAAAGGCUCACCAAGGCGACGAUCCUUAGCUGGUCUGAGAGGAUGAUCAGCCACACUGGGACUGAGACACGGUCCAGACUCCUACGGGAGGCAGCAGUGGGGAAUAUUGGACAAUGGGCGAAAGCCUGAUCCAGCAAUGCCGCGUGAGUGAUGAAGGCCUUAGGGUUGUAAAGCUCUUUUACCCGGGAUGAUAAUGACAGUACCGGGAGAAUAAGCUCCGGCUAACUCCGUG